rnacentral:rRNA from 1 species
AGCGAACGCUGGCGGCAGGCUUAACACAUGCAAGUCGAACGCCCCGCAAGGGGAGUGGCAGACGGGUGAGUAACACGUGGGAACGUACCCUUUGGUUCGGAAUAACUUGGGGAAACUCAAGCUAAUACCGGAUAAGCCCUUAUGGGGAAAGGUUUACUGCCGAAGGAUCGGCCCGCGUCUGAGUAGCUAGUUGGUGAGGUAAUGGCGCACCAAGGCGACGAUCAGUAGCUGGUCUGAGAGGAUGAUCAGCCACCCUGGGACUGAGACACGGCCCAGACUCCUACGGGAGGCAGCAGUGGGGAAUAUUGUACAAUGGGGGCAACCCUGAUCCAGCCAUGCCGCGUGAGUGAUGAAGGCCUUAUGGUUGUAAAGCUCUUUUACCCGGGACGAUAAUGACUGUACCGGGAGAAUAAGCCCCGGCUAACUUCGUGCCAGCCGCCGCUGUAA